rnacentral:other from 1 species
UCCCUGCGAUGUCCGUGCUGAAAUGGGAGUUUUUGAGCCAACACAAAUGUCUUGGGGCCUAACUUUGGAUAUGGCUGUAGACCCUGUUGUUAGGAAUUGGGGAACAUAAAAUAUCCAAGAGGGCACCCACCUUGUUUAACGGGUUCAAUAAGACACCCUUUCAUACGGCAUUAGUGGGGAUU